rnacentral:rRNA from 1 species
CCUACGGGAGGCUGCAGUGGGGGAUAUUGCACAAUGGGGGGAACCCUGAUGCAGCGACGCCGCGUGGGUGAAGAAGCGCCUCGGCGCGUAAAGCCCUGUCAGCAGGGAAGAAAAUGACGGUACCUGAAGAAUAAGCCCCGGCUAACUACGUUCCAGCAGCCGCGGUAAUACGUAGGGGGCAAGCGUUAUCCGGAUUUACUGGGUGUAAUGGGGGCGCAGACGGCGCUGCAAGCCAGGAGUGAAAGCCCGGGGCUCAACCCCGGGACUGCUGUUGGAACUGCGUGGCUGGAGUGCAGGAGGGGCAGGCGGAAGUCCUGGUGUAGCGGUGAAAUGCGUAGAUAUCAGGAGGAACACCGGUGGCGAAGGCGGCCUGCUGGACUGCAACUGACGUUGAGGCCCGAAAGCGUGGGGAGCAAACAGGAUUAGAUACCCGGGUAGUC